ACGCUCGACACCUACGGGGGCAGCAGUCGGGAAUAUUGCGCAAUGGAGGGAACUCUGACGCAGUGACGCCGCGUAUAGGAAGAAGGUUUUCGGAUUGUAAACUAUUGUCGUUAGGGAAGAGAAAGGACAGUACCUAAGGAGGAAGCUCCGGCUAACUACGUGCAAGCAGCCGCGGUAAUCUGAGGCGGGCUGGCAAGGC
rnacentral:rRNA from 1 species